rnacentral:rRNA from 1 species
AGAGUUUGAUCAUGGCCCAGAAUGAGCGCUGGAAUCGUGCCUUACACAUGCGAGUUGAACGCUCGAAAGAGAGUAGCAAACGAGUGAGUAAUACGGUAGAACUUGCCCAAAAGUCCGGGAUAAAAUACUGGAUACCUUCUUUGUAAAAAGGAGAAAAGAUUGAUCGCUUUUGGAUAGGCUGCCGGAGGUUUAGGUAGUUGGUUAGGUAAAAGCUGACCAAGCCAAUAAUCCUUAGCUGGUUUGGGAGAACGAACAGCCACGUCGGGACUGAGACAAGGCCCGAGCUCCUUCGGGGGGCAGCAGCGGGGAAUCUUGGGCAAUGAGCGAAAGCUUGACCUAGCGACGAUUCGUAAGGGAGGUAAAUGAAAGUCAACCUCACGACUGUAAAACUUUUUCGGCAGGGGGAGAUGAUGACAGAACCUGAGGCAAGAAGCACUGGCUAAGUUUUGUGCCAGCAGCCGCGGCAAUACAAAAGGUGCGAGCGCUAUUCGGAUUUAUUGGGCGUUAAGGGUAUGUAGGUGGCCAUAAACACUAAUUGAAAAAAGCUAGGGAGGAUACCUUAGACAACCGAUUAGGAUAAAUGGCUUGAGGAAAAGGGAGGUCGGGAGAAUUUCCAGAGUAGAAGUCAAAUUCUGAUAUACUGGAAGGACUAUCAGUGGCGAAGGCGCCUUUCCAUCUUUUCCUGACGCUGAGGUACGAAGGCACGGGGAGCAAACAGGAUUUGAUACCCUGGUAGUCCGUGCAGUCAACGAUGCAUAUUAAAGAUUUGAGCUUUUCAGGUCUUACAGCUUACGCGUUAAAUGUGCCGCCUGGGGAGUACGAUCGCAAGGUUGAAACUCAAGGGAAUUGACGGAAACUUUUACAAGCCGUGGAGCGUGUGGUUUAAUUUGAUGAUCCGCGAAAAACCUUACCAGUUUGAGUUACUACGCCUUAUUCGCCGCUUCUAACGAAACAGGGCUUGCGUCUGUUUUCGUUUAUAAGAGGGGUUGAAUUAAAGCCGCUAGUAACACAGGUGUUGCAUGGCUGUCAUAAGCCCGUGUCGUGAGACGUAAGGUUAACUUCUAUCCACGGGCGAAACCCUUCUUUUUUGUUCUGUUAAACAGAAAACAAAUCGACCACACCGGGGGCGACGACGUAACAUGUUUACGUUAUGCUUUGGGUAAUGCAGGGGGGGAGCAUGACAAGUCAUCAUGGCCCGCAUAAACUGGGCUACACAUUCGCUACAAUGGAAGGGACUAUGAGAUGCCAGAACUAAAAUUUCGAGCUAAACUCCAAACCUUUCCCUCGUACAGAUUAUCUUCUGCAAUUCGAAGAGAUGAAGGAGGAAUGGCCAGUAAUCGCAUAUCAGCAAUGGUGCGGUGAAUUCGUACUGAAGUUUUGUACAAACCGCCCGUCACGGUCCGAAAGAAGGUCCACUCGAAGUUGGUGUCUGUGUUUGGCUAGCCGCUUUUUUGAGAGCUAUCAAAUCAGAGCCAACGUCUGUAGGGUCACUGAUUGGAACGAAGUCGUAACAAGGUA